UGAGUUUAUGAAGUUGGUGACGUGUAGAAGACUUUUUGUAAGUACUCAGUAUCAGGUUAAGUAAGUGAGAUCAAUUUGGAAAUGACAAUCAUUGAUCUUUAUUGGGGAUAAGAGUACAAAAGAAUCUCCCAAAUGGAGAAAAGAGAAACCGGUCACGCGUGGUAUGCAACGGCAUGUCUCCGUGAGGGCGCGGCCACCAAGCGUGAAAUAGAGUGAACGUGCCUCUGUCACAUUAUUGCUUCCAAACCUUAACACCUCUAUAAACGGAAUGAAGUCAAAUUAUAGUACACGGACUGAGUGGUAUAAUUCAAAUAAAGUAUUAAAAGUAUGCAUGUGA